rnacentral:tRNA from 1 species
UCCCGGGUGGACCGGUAGGUGGCCCCGCCCUGGAGCGCCGGGGUCCGGAACCGGUACGGCGACGCCACGGAGUUCGAGCCGCUGCCCGGGCC